rnacentral:lncRNA from 1 species
GAAGAAUAGGGCUGGGCAGAGAUGUCUGCGGAGCUGAUCUGUAGCUUUGAGCGGCCAACACAAUGGACCUCUGGGUGGGCUCAGAGAGCCCCCCUCCCUAGCCCCCGACCUCCUGCCCGUGACACAGAUAAGGACCUAGAGGACUGCUCCAAGCUGCUUCGUGUGCCCCCGGCCAGCCGGCAGCGAGGCCAGCCUGGUGUGAGUGGCAGCAAAGAUAAACGGCGGUCGCACGGGCAUUGAAUGCCCCAACACAAAAGGCCGCCUCUCCCCGAGUCCCUCUGAGGCCCAGAUGGUCAGGGAAGCCCUUUCCCGCCUCACAAAGAGGAUCGCUGCGUGUCUUUUUCUUUUAAAAUGG